UUUAGGAAUUAAAGGAAGGUUUUAAAGGAGGCAUUUACCUGCGAUAUGUAUGUUCUGGUUGGUUCUGGCUUUGAGUGACAGUUUAUUUGUUCUGGAGUAACCUGACGAGGGGGAGGGUCCAGACUCAUCACCGGUGGGAUCCACCUCCACCUGACGAUGACGCCGGGACUUGGAGGCCUGAGAUAAAAAAUAGUGUGUUUUUGGAUGAUUUGAAAGGUAUAAAUUUAACAAAAUGCACAUUUUUUUGCAAGAAAAAAAUUAAUAUAACAUGAGAAACAAACCUCUGCUGCCUCUCCGUAUGCUUUUGACUUGAUGGAGGCAAGGAGCUCAGCUCUCCUGGAGGACUGAGGACACAAAACUGCCGGAGACGUGGUGUGCACCAGUGAUACUCUAAAUGCUUCUGAUGACCUCCAGCUUCAACUGAGUCACACGUAGCGUCGCUCACCUCCUGCUGAGACGACGCUCCCUCAUCGUCGUCUUCAUCUUCAACCUUCCCAUCCUGACAACACAAGACACGUCAUGGCCUCACAUCAACAGUGGUGAAAAAAAGACCCGGCUGUAUGAAGAGAAACUUCACUGUAACAAAGACCUGGAGAAAAGUCUCACCUUCUUUUGCUGCCAGUUGUAGAAAUCCACCACAGAGCUGCGCAGCUGAGGGACGAGCUCAUUACGGAGCAGGUUGACGGACGAAACCGCCGGUUCUGACGUCGAAGAGACAGACGCCUUCAGCUUCUCAUAGAGCUCAUGAAUGUUGGACAAUUCCUGCAAGAAGACAAACAGCACAACUUAACACUUGAUGAAAAAUUCCCUUUAAAGUGCCAAGAGUCGAGGGGGCCUCGGCUCACCUCCAGCCGCUCGAUGUUGAUCAGCUCCUGUGGACGAGACGCUCGCUCCAUGAACUCUUCACACAACGCCGUCCUCUCCACCUUCCUCUUCUUCUGGAAGGAGAGCUGGAUGGAGAGGAAGAGGAGGGAGAGACAAAGGAGAAGCACAAAGAGGCGAGUGUGAACUGCAAGCUAGAAGGGAUUAUAUGCUGAACCUAAAAUCAUAUUGAUGAUUUUUCUCAGAACCUGUAUUUUGUCAUUUGUUGAACCCGUUUGAAAUGACAUAAAUAUCUCAUUUCUAAUUGGUA